rnacentral:tRNA from 1 species
UAUGAGGUGGUCGAUAAUUAAAGUCGGUAGAUUGUAAAUCUAUGUAUAAGUUUAACUUUCUCGUAA